ensembl:snoRNA
UGGACCAGUGAUGAUGACUGAUGAUAAUGGAGUCAUGGGCGAUGAGAAAAUAUGUGUCUGAAACUCUGAGGUCCAA